GACGAACGCUGGCGGCGUGCUUAACACAUGCAAGUCGAACGGAAAGGCCUGCUUUCCCUUGUGGAUUGCGGGUACUCGAGUGGCGAACGGGUGAGUAACACGUGAGUGAUCUGCCCCCAACUUGGGUAUAAGCCUGGGAAACUGGGUCUAAUUCCCGAUAGGACUGCAGGGUGGUGCCUGUGGUGGAAAACGAUUUGCUAGUGGUUGGGGAUGAGCUCGCGGCCUAUCAGCUUGUUGGUGGGGUAAUGGCCUACCAAGGCGGCGACGGGUAGCCGGCCUGAGAGGGUGGACGGCCACAUUGGGACUGGGAUACGGCCCAGACUCCUACGGGAGGCAGCAGUGGGGAAUAUUGCACAAUGGGCGGAAGCCUGAUGCAGCGACGCCGCGUGGGGGAUGACGGCCUUCGGGUUGUAAACUCCUUUCGACCGCGAGGAAGCCACCUGGUUGGAAGGGUGGUGACGGUAGUGGUAGAAGAAGCACCGGCUAACUACGUG
rnacentral:rRNA from 1 species